rnacentral:rRNA from 1 species
CCCUUAGAUGUCCGGGGCCGCACGCGCGCUACACUGAUGCAUUCAACGAGCCUAUCCUUGACCGACAGGUCCGGGUAAUCUUUGAAUCUGCAUCGUGACGGGGAUAGAUUAUUGCAAUUAUUAAUCUUCAACGAGGAAUGCCUAGUAGGCGCAAGUCAUCAGCUUGCGUCGAUUACGUCCCUGCCCUUUGUACACACCGCCCGUCGCUCCUACCGAUUGGGUGUGCUGGUGAAAUGUUAGGAUCGGCCGUUUGUCGCGGUUUCCGCGGCUCGUGGCUGAGAAGUUCAUUAAACCCUCCCACCUAGAGGAAGGAGAAGUCGUAACA